rnacentral:lncRNA from 1 species
GCCCCAUAAUCCGUUCCCCCCAUUCCUUGACUAGCCUCAACAGUCCAUACAGUCUUAAGAAGCUCAUCAAGAUUCAUACUGCUUAGUGGUUUCCCCAAAUCCCCCAAUUGAUUCUGAACCUCAUCAAGUGUGAGGCCAUAUAAUGAUCCUUGCCUAGCCAAAGCAUUUGGCUUUGGGUCUUGUGCUUGAGUUGCACCCAUACUAGUACCACCACCACCACCCUGAGAUCCCAUCACAUAAAUUUUCCUCUCCAGAAAAUCAAUUCAAGACUCCUUUUUUAAUACAGAGGCUAUAUAACGAUCCUUGCCUAGCCAAAGCAUUUGGCUUUGGGUCUUGUGCUUGAGUUGCACCCAUACUAGUACUACCACCACCCUGAGAUCCCAUCACAUAAAUUUUCCACUCCAGCAAAAUCAGUUCAAGACUACUUUUUUAAACACCAAGAAACUAAAGUUCUAAUCUUUCUAUGUUUUUUUGCCCAAUGGUUAACAUCAAAUAAAUUAUCCACUAACCAGCCUGAAUAUACCCAACUAUUCAACCACUCCAAAAAUCAAUCAAAGACUCCUUUUUUAACACACCAGGAAAGUAAAGUUCUAAUCUUUCAAUAUUCUUUUAGCCCAAUGAUUCACAUCAAAAGACAUUUCAAGAAAUCAAACCCCAUUAAUCACUUCCAAUGAGAAUCAUAAAACCCAUCAACAGACUUCAAAAAUAAUAAUAAUCAAGAAACAGAAUACCCAGAUCAAAUUCAAGAAAAUGCUAGGGAUUGAGGUUAAAAAAAAAAGGAGAAACAGUGUUACCAAGAAAAUGAAGAAAUACCCAAAAAGGGAAAUAAUCUUAGGGAAUGAAUUAGCUUGCAUGCAGCAACAUAUGUCCAACAUUCAGCCAUGAGAGAACAAAAACCCAGAAACCAUAUGCUGCUUUGCUGCCAAAAACCUGAGGCUCAAUCUAACUUCAGCAAAGCAUAGAAGCAGACCCACAUUCUAUUCUCUCUAGAAAAAGAAAAAAAAAAAGUGCACUCCUAUAUAAAAUUAGACAUCCAAGAGCCAUGAGAGAACAAAAAACCCAGAAACCAUACGUUGCUUUGCUGCCAAAAACCUAAGGCUCAAUCUAACUUCAGGAAAGAAUAGAAGCAGACCCACAUUCUAUUCUCUCUAGAAAAAGAAAAAAAAAUGUGCACUCCUAUAUAAAAUUAGACAUCCAAGACAACUUUCAAAUAGAUAAUUAAAC